UGCUAUCAAAUUCGAUGUUGGCUUCGUUGAACCUAAGGAAACCCUAUAGAAGAUCAAAUUCUACAUGGGCUUCGUCUCUUGCCAUUUUAAAGAAUGAGUUUGGUCAGGCUCCCAAGGGUCAACUUCAAACCCAAUGGAUGUUUUUUAUAGAGGUGUUGAAACAGAGACUUUGACAGGUUGAUAGAAGGGCAAAAUCGAAAACAUCUACAAUCCCACUUACAAAAGAAGGCAAAUACGCCCUCAAGAACAAUCUUCUACUGAACUUAUACCUCUCAUCAUGUACCGCAGAUUUACCAAAUUUUCUUGCACAUAGUGACCCAUUUAUGCUACCAGUAAUUGGAAAGAGGAAGCUGAUGAAGAAGAUCCUUUACUGGUGAUUCUUGCAGUGACCACGAAGCUUUUCUUAAACUUGGUAAGGAUGAAAAUAUGCAAAGCAUAAUGGAAAGGAAAGAGCGUUCUAUUGGGAAAACUUUUUAAUUAUCAAGCAAUAUGUAGGAUAUGAGAAUGCAAUAUGUAGAUCUAUUAUCAAGCAUUGAAUUUAUAGAUUUUCAAUUUUUCUA